CAGGGUCAUCGGAGGUGCUGAGUUCUCCGAGGUUAAGUCAGUUGAGGGCCGGAGCACUGCUCGGUGGAAGCGUGGGGGUGUCGUCUCUAAAUGCAUCCGACUGAAGUCUGCUAUGUUGGCCGGGGGAAUGCACUGCUCCAGGAACAGGUCCUCCUCGUCUUCCUCCAUGUCCAUGUUCUCUGGAGGCCAGCGCAGCUCACCACUCUCCACUUCGCUCACCUCUGUGGGUUCCACAACAAUGGAGGGCAGGCGUUCCUUCUCAUGGUCGUGGUCCAGGCUGUUCAAGGUGGUCUCUGGGCCCAGGACAACCUCAACAGGGUCCGGGAAAAUCUGGAGGAGAAAAGGGAGGAGAGAUGAAGACAUGAAAAGAUGUACUGAAUAAAAGCUGAGGGGGGAUUAAGAAGGACUGAGGAUCUGUCCGAAUCGUCUGUUUAUCCCUCUUUCCCGCUCCCGCUCUAGUCUCAGUGUCUGUCUUCUCUGAAGUCUCAUGGGUGUUGUCUUCACUUGUGAAAUUCACACACCGGAGAAGAUUCUUAAUUUCUACAUCAAGAUUGAACUUUCAGUGCCAGUUCAGGGGCAUCUGGAGGACACAAAGGAGAACUCAACCUGGGGAAAAUCCACAGGUCUUGCUUAUGUGAAUAAUAUUUGUAGCUGAAAUGAACACACACAUACAAAUAUGCAAACUUCAGCAGCCUCUUACCCCUCACUUGCAGUCAGGCAGCCAUCUUCUCCAUCUUGGCACAGCUUCACAGUGGUGAAGCCUGGCUCCUCCACACUGGGCACAGGUGACAUGAGGGGGAGUGCAGGGGGAGGUGAGCAGCUCCUGCAGCAUUCCCCCUCCGCAGAGCCCUCAGUGAGGCUUUUGGCCUCCAGGGCGAAGCCUGGAUGGAGGAGGGGAAUGGGUUCCCAGGAGUCCCAGGAGUUUAGCUGAAGAUCAGGAGAUGGAUGUGUGCCUGGUUUUCUUUGGGACAGCACCUGUCUCACUUGUCAGUGCUGAGUCUGUCUGCUAGCCCAAAACCUACAUGCACUCCUUUGUCUCCUGUAUCCAACUUCCUUCCUCAUGUCUCUUUCAAUAUCACUCCCUGUCCCACCCCACUGCCAGGCUUUGGAGAGGAGCAGGAUUAGCGUCUCUUUCGAUUACAGAGGCUGGAUGGGUGACGUCAGCCAGGCUUGACCGUUCCCUCUGAUGAGUUUGCAGACUGGGUCAAUGGUGCAUCUGUACAGAAACACAUAAAGGGCGCACAAACAUGGCAUGCUGUUGAUGGAAAUUAAUUUGAAUCAGGAGGAAAAUGAACUGUGAACUGCUCACAAAAUGAACAAGGAGAAGUUUUGCACCUUAUAAUUUGGCUUCCUUUAUGUCUUCCCCAUCCUGUCUGUUUGGACCAUGCCUCUCUCUGCCUUUUCCCCUAUGUGUUGUCGCUCCCUCAGUGGAUUUAGAUUUGGCCGAUUCAUGGAAUUAGCCCAGGGAUCAAGGGCUCAGGGGUGGAGAGGGGAUGGAUAUAUAUAUAACAGGCUCCAACCACUGCUAAACAGACAGAGCACUGUUACCAGCAGUGUGUAAUCCCCUGUGUAGGCUAAGUCAGUAGGUUAUAUAUGGAACAAGGUAGUGAGGGAACUAGUGCAGGAUGAAGGGCGUUCUGCUCCUGCAGAACUUCUGUUAUGCUGAUUUUGCACAUAGCGCCAUCUUUUUUGCACUACUAUCCUUCCCACUACAACAACAUCUUUCUAUUUGUAUUAUAAUUUAAAACACUCAUGUUACACAGAUGUUACAUAUACUGUGUGUAUUCUUUGUACAUACAUGUGCUGAGGCUAUAAACAUAUACGUUUAUAUGUAACUAUAUAUUGCAAAUAUAACUUACUUUUUCUUUUGUUUUUUUUUUCCUUUAGUGCCACUUUUAUAGUUUGUUCUACUUAAUAGUCUAUUUUCAUGUUGAUAAUAAAAUUUUGGAAUCACAUAAUGACAAAUAAAACCUUCAACUUUGAGUUAAGUGAAAAAAGAGCAUCCUCCAAAUAAUUUCAGAUUUUUACAGUUCAAAAGUGUCUGUAAUCACUCUCCUUAACAGAGACAGGACUUUUCCUUCAGAACUCACGUGUUUGUGUAUCACUUGAGUAUUUAUGAUAUAUCACAGCAGGAUAUACAUAUGCUGCUCCUGUCAAAGCUGAUUUUAAUGCAACUGUCAUGACCACACCCGUUAUUACUUAUUACAGAUAAAAAUCCAGAACAACCACAACAUUUAAUAUUUUGCAAAGUAUAAUUUAUUGUUUAUUGAGACUCCAGUAAUCGUGUAAUAUAAAACCUCUCUCCACAUGCAUUAUGCUGUAU